AACUCUAAACCACUCGUUGCUUUCAGGAAUUGAAGACCUUCCACUUCUUUGUCUUGCAAGAGGAAGGUAACUGCCGAUGCAUCUGCAUGAGGCUUAACGCCAAGAAUUCGAUCAGGCCUUGGACAUGGAGGAUAGAAGUUGAACCUUGCAGUCACAAGUGGCUGUUCUCCAUACUGGUCUAGAAAGCAGCCUUCCUCCAAGUUCCAUGACCUCGCCAUGGCUCCAAGGAGAAAGUCAACUGUAUCUUAUAUCGAGUGUCUUGUUGACUCAUUUGUAGAGUCAACUGAGAAAUAUUUUCCCUCUAGCUAGAUGUUUACAAGCAUAAUUUUUAACACAAUGAGAGCUGAGUGGAGUUUUUCAACUUCCUCUCUGCUUGUUGACGGAGAUGUGAGGCGGCUUGUAUCAAUAACUGGGAUCUCCAACACUGGAAGAGAACUGUCUAGGACUCCAUUAACACCAUCUUCAUAGAAAUAUUUUCCAGGCGGUUCUUCACUGUUCCUGACCACCUCUUGGACAGAUUUUGAUUUUGAUUCUAAUAUGGAAACAAAAGAAAGAGAGUUCGAACUAAACUUAGCCGUUAUGGAUAGCUAUACGUACCAUGGAGUUUUCUGCUGUUCCAAUUCAGAGGCAGUGACCUGCUCUAUCCAAACAUGAGUGUGGUGAAGGAUGUGUCCACGGAACUAUUGAGGAGCUAGAGGUCAUUGGGAUGGUGACAUUGUUCAGAGGUUUAAGGCAGGAAAGCUGGAAAGUACUAUUGGGUGUCUGUGGCUCCUUUCAUUGGUUUUAUCUGCUGUUUCUUGUCUGGAAGGAAGUGGCUCUGCGAUAUCAUGUUUGUCUUAUUAUCUACUUUUUGUCUUCCACGAUAUUAAUUUACUAAUUAAUCCUAGGAAACUUCUUUUCAGACUUUCAGCAAUCAUCUCUGUUGGGGAGAUUCGCUUUGGAGUUUUCAGGUGUUGAGAGAGAAUUCCAGAUCCAUUGUUGUGAUUCCGAGUGUACAGGAAUUGAAGACCUUCCACUUCUUUGUCUUGCAAGAGGAAGGUAACUGCCGAAGCAUCUGCAUGAGGCUUAACGCCAAGAAUUCGAUCAGGCCUUGGACAUGGAGGAUAGAAGUUAAACCUUGCAGUCACAAGUGGUUGUUCUCCAUACUGGUCUAGAAAGCAGCUUUCCUCCAAGUUCAAUGACCUCGCCAUGGCUCUAAGGAGAAAGUCAUUUGUCUCUUGUAACUUCACGGUGUAUUCAUGUAGGGUUUCCCUGCAGCAACGGUUAAGAACAAGGUUAGCAUGUACUUAUCAAAAUCUUAUUAAUGCAUUGGAUGGUUAUCAGCUGUAAGUUCAA